rnacentral:rRNA from 1 species
UACGAAGGGGGCGAGCGUUGUUCGGAAUUACUGGGCGUAAAGGGCGAGCAGGCGGCUCUGAAAGUCAGAUGUGAAAGCCCCGGGCUUAACCUGGGAAUUGCAUUUGAUACUCUGGAGCUUGAGUACGGGAGAGGAGAGUGGAAUUCCCAGUGUAGAGGUGAAAUUCGUAGAUAUUGGGAAGAACACCGGUGGCGAAGGCGGCUCUCUGGACCGUAACUGACGCUGAGGCGCGAAAGCGUGGGGAGCAAACAGG